rnacentral:rRNA from 1 species
GAAAGUAAACAAGGGCGCAUGGAGGAUGCCUAGGCUCUCGGAGGCGAAGAAGGACGUGAUAAGCUGCGAAAAGUUACGGUAAGGCGCAAAUAGCCCUAGACCCGUAAAUAUCCGAAUGGGGCAACCCGGCCAGCAAUGGUCAUACCGCCAAGCGGUAAGCCAACGCGGGGAACUGAAACAUCUAAGUACCCGCAGGAAAAGAAAAUAACAAUGAUUCCGCCAGUAGUGGCGAGCGAACGCGGAACAGCCCAAACCACUCGUGUUACGGCACGAGUGGGGUAGAAGGAUCCACGCCACGGCAAGAAAUAAGUUAGCAGAAUACGAUGGAAAUCGUAGCCAAAGACGGUGACAGCCCAGUACGCGAAAACCGACAGAAGCCCAGUGGACACCUGAGUAACCCAGGACACGAGAAAUCCGGGGCGAAUCAGCGGGGCCCAUCCCGUAAGGCUAAAUACUCCCGAGAGACCGAUAGCGAACCAGUACUGUGAAGGAAAGGUGAAAAGCACUUCGAAUAGAAGAGUGAAAUAGUCCCUGAAACCAUGCGCCUACAAGCGGUCGGAGCAGCUUAUGCUGUGACGGCGUGCCUUUUGCAUAAUGAACCUACGAGUUACUUUUUCCGGCAAGGUUAAGGAUCUUGAGAUCCGCAGCCGAAGCGAAAGCGAGUCUUAACAGGGCGAUUAGUCGGAAGGAGUAGACGCGAAACCAAGUGAUCUACCCUUGGUCAGGUUGAAGGUUAGGUAACACUAACUGGAGGACCGAACCGAUAAGCGUUGAAAAGCUUCCGGAUGAGCUGAGGGUGGGGGUGAAAGGCUAAUCAAACUUGGAGAUAGCUCGUACUCCCCGAAAUGCAUUUAGGUGCAGCCUUGACCAUUACUAAUGUGAGGUAGAGCGACUGAUAAGAUGCGAGGGCUUCACCGCCUAUCAAGUCUUGACAAACUCCGAAUGCGCAUCAGUUUUACCUCAGGAGUGAGGGCAUGGGUGCUAAGGUCCGUGCCCGAGAGGAGAAGAAUCCGGACCACCUGCUAAGGUCCCGAAAUAACAGCUAAGUUAAACUAACGAAGUCAGAUUGCUAAGACAGCUAGGAUGUUGGCUUGGAAGCAGCCAUUCAUUUAAAGAGUGCGUAACAGCUCACUAGUCGAGGAGUUUGGCGUGGAUAAUAAUCGGGCAUAAGUAUUCUACCGAAGCUUUGGGAUGAGAAAUCAUCGGUAGGGGAGCAUUCCACUCGGCGUCGAAGGUGAAGCGCGAGCUUUGCUGGAGCGUGUGGAAAAGCAAAUGUAGGUAUAAGUAACGAUAAAGGGGGUGGGAAACCCCCUCGCCGAAAGACUAAGGUUUCCUGAUCAACGCUAAUCGGAUCAGGGUAAGUCGGGUCCUAAGGCUCAGCCGAACGGCGAGGCCGAUGGCAGAACCGGUUAAUAUUCCGGUACUACCUGUGGGAGUGACGUGGAGACGGAGUCGUGACAGCGCCGCGGACUGACGGAAUAGUCCGUUGAAGGGUGUAGAUGCUGAUUGUUCCAGGCAAAUCCGGAGCAAGAGUCGAACCUGAUAGUAUGGAGCGUUCUUAGAACAAUCCAAUAGUGCGUGUAAUCAUACUUCCAAGAAAAUCCGCUAAACUUAAUCCUGCAGGUACCCGUACCGCAAACGGACACACGUAGUCGGGUUGAAUAUACUAAGGCGCUUGAGUGAUUCACGGUUAAGGAACUAGGCAAACUGACCCUGUAACUUCGGGAUAAAGGGUCCUCGCUUAACGGCGAGGCGCAGAGAAUAGGUCCAGGCAACUGUUUAACAAAAACACAGGGCUGUGCAAAAUUUCAAGAUGAAGUAUACAGCCUGACACCUGCCCGGUGCCGGAAGGUUAAGAGGAGAGCUAAUCGCAAGAGAAGGCUUGAAUUGAAGCCCCGGUAAACGGCGGCCGUAACUAUAACGGUCCUAAGGUAGCGAAAUUCCUUGUCGGGUAAGUUCCGACCUGCACGAAUGGUGUAAUGAUCUGGACACUGUCUCAACCGUGACUUCGGUGAAAUUGUAGUAUCGGUGAAGAUGCCGAUUACCCGCAACGGGACGAAAAGACCCCGUGAACCUUUACUGCAACUUAGCAUUGCGUUUGGGCAUUUGAUGUGUAGGAUAGUCCGGAGGCUACGAGUCGGCGACGCCAGUCGUCGAGGAGCCGCUGUUGAAAUACGGACCUUCGAAUGUUUGAGCGCUAACUCGCAGGAGCGAGGACACUGUUUGGUGGGUAGUUUGACUGGGGUGGUCGCCUCCAAAAGCGUAACGGAGGCUUCUAA